UACGUAGGGGGCUAGCGUUGUCCGGAUUUAUUGGGCGUAAAGAGCUCGUAGGCGGUUACGUAAGUCAGGUGUGAAACCUCCAGGCUCAACCUGGAGACGUCACUUGAUACUGCGUUGACUUGAGUUCGGUAGGGGUAAGCGGAAUUCCUGGUGUAGCGGUGAAAUGCGUAGAUAUGCGGAGGAACACCGAUGGCGAAGGCAAUCCCCUGGACCUGUACUGACGCUCAUGCACGAAAGCGUGGGGAGCAAACAGG
rnacentral:rRNA from 1 species